rnacentral:lncRNA from 1 species
AAGCUUCAAGAGCAUGAGAUGGAGCUUGGAUAUGUGACCAUGCAUGAGGAGUCUGAUCGGAAAAAGAAAGGAAUAUCUCUUAAAGCUACAACAUCACAACCCACUGAAGAGAUAGACAAUGACGACUCUGACUCUAACAUUGAUGAAGAAACGCUAAACCUUCUCGUGCAAAAGUUUGGGAAAUUUCUAAAGAAGAAAGGAGGUUUCAAGCGAUUUCAAAAGAAAGAGGCAUGAGAAUAAACUAGGAAAGGCAAGAAUAAGGAGGGCUUCACUUGCCAUGAAUGUGGUAAGCCGGGUGUUGAAAGGUUUUUCUUGGGGGAAGAGUUGGCUUUCCCCUCUCAACAAAUCGUCCUAGCAGUAGUGCCAAUUUGUUGAAAGCGGAAAUUCC